ensembl:lncRNA
CCUAACUGUUUUUGUUAUUCUCUAAGUUUAUAAUCCGGGCUCUGUGGUGCUAUAAGAGCUCAUUAACUUGGAGUCUACAUCGGUGAGUCAAAUGCAAUUAAGAGUAAUCAAAGAAAUGUCAUCGCAAAAAUACACUUCAUGGAUUUCUUUUCAAAGUUUCCACUGGGAGACGGGAGGGAAGAAUACACUUCCAACCACAUUAAAGACUUCUGAGAACUGUGUCAUCUGCAAGAUGAGCUCCACUGAAGGACAUUGAACACUGAGCUGAACCCCACCAUUGUCUGUGCUGUGGAGAGACCAUACCCAAGGCAUCCUCUCAAGGACCUUCUCCACGGUCUUCACCUCAUGUGAUGGAGUGAGGAAGAUUCCUCCACAUUUCCAUCCACAGGAUCCUCAUGGUGGGACAUGGUUUGAUUUUGUCAAGUGAACUGCAGCCAACUGCAC